rnacentral:rRNA from 1 species
UACGUAGGGUGCGAGCGUUGUCCGGAAUUAUUGGGCGUAAAGAGCUCGUAGGCGGUGUGUCACGUCGGCCGUGAAAACCUGCAGCUUAACUGUGGGCGUGCGGUCGAUACGGGCAUCACUGGAGUUCGGCAGGGGAGACUGGAAUUCCUGGUGUAGCGGUGAAAUGCGCAGAUAUCAGGAGGAACACCGGUGGCGAAGGCGGGUCUCUGGGCCGAUAACUGACGC